ensembl:snRNA U6 U6 spliceosomal RNA
GUGUUUUGCGUAGGGGGCACAUAUACUAAACUUUUAAUAAUACAGAGAUUAGCAUGGUCUCUAGUCAAGAAGGGCAUGCAGAUACAUGAUGCUUUCCACAUUUAA